CUGGAGGGAGGCUUGAGUUGUGCAAGUGACUCGACUGUUGUGCUAUUGUUUGUUUUAAGUAAGAAUAUGUUUUUCACCAACAACAUUGUGCAUCAAGUUUAUUUAAGUUGAUACCGGUGAGACACGUUAUCGAAAGAAGAUGUUAAAGACCUUUUGAAGUAAAGAGGAGCAUCUCAUCUGGACCUGAUGUCUAUAUUUAACUGCAGUUCUGUGAGUAUCCCCACUUAACCAUGAAGAUGAACUGCGAUCUGUAAGUCAAUAGUUUCUCAUUACUCUUGGGCACAUUGCUGUACUUUGGUUUCCUGGUGAGUUAACCCGUUAGCUGAAGGUUGAUCUGAGUAGUAAGGAUGUUUUAUUGGUUCAUGCGUUUGGUUUUUGUUGGUUUUAAUGGUUUGUUAAAACGGUUAAAGGUUCUAAGUUAUUGUUGUAAGCUGGAGUAAUGGCUUGGGUUCUGAUGUCUUCAGUCUUCUUUCCAGCUACUCUCCUGAGCUCUGCAUCAUCUUCACAUGAGUGUUUCAUUACUGAUGAGGGUGUGGUCUGAGUGAGCAGAGGCACAUACUGGGAUACAGAGCUGUCUGAAGUCUACAGGUCUGUAGACACGCCCCCUCAGGGGAAACUGAGUGUUUGAGAAACCGUCAUGACAACCAGGACUCUACCAUCAAGGAUUCCUCACACACCUGAGCUGAACCUCACCUGAUCCUGUUUGGUCGGGGGCAGACACACCUGAGCUGAACCUCACCUGAUCCUGUUUGGUCGGGGGCAGACACACCUGAGCUGAACCUCCCCUGAUCCUGUUUGGUCGGGGGCAGACACACCUGAGCUGAACCCCACCUGAUCCUGUUUGGUCGGGGGCAGACACACCUGAGCUGAACCCCACCUGAUGCUGUUUGGUCCGGGCAGACACACCUGAGCUGAACCCCACCUGAUCCUGACACCCUGCUGGUCCCGUCUCCUCAGUUCAUCUGAGCCUCGUCCUCCAGAAGACCUGCUGAGCUCAGCGGUCUGAGGCUGAUGGAUCAAUGACCUCCAGUGGGAGUGAUCUUCUUGACCCCACAUGUACCCGUGUGCCUCCACACGCCUUUCCCUCACUACUUCCCUAACCUCACUACUUCCCUAACCUCACUACUUCCCUAUCCUUCCUCUUCUUCUUCCUUCUCCGUGGUUCGAACCUUUACUCUGAAGGAGUGUCUUCUUGAACCUUUACACUGAAGGAGCGUCUUCCUGCCCUCAGAGGGUACAGCGUUAGGGUUGAGAGUCAGGGUUUAGAGUCAGGGACAGCUCGUCAGGGAGGACUGGUUUUAAACAAACCUCUUCACUUGCUUUCUGAAUGGUGGUCAAAUUUUGAAAUGUAUCAUUUGGGAAACUGUUUUCCUCUGCUUUCCUUUGCAAAUAUAUGUAUUAAACUUCUGUCAAGUGUUUUUGUUUAUAUAUUAAAAUCCUACAUUGACCUCUGC